GAUCCUUUUAAUAAAGAGCUGAACAUUAAUAAAGGCAUGGACCCUGUUCAUUACAGAGAUUUAAAUACUGUACAAACUGGAUAGAAUUACAGCUACUCUUAUUUUUCAGUUUCUAAAUCUUGAAGCCAUAACAUUUUCUCCUCCUGUGUUUAAUCUAGAGUGUUAGUAAUAAACCACCUUGUCUGCAUGCAAAGAGAUUGCCACCGAGAGGAACAAAGUGCUGCUGAUGACAGAGGUAAAUCUUGUUAUUCUGAAAAUUAUUCCUCAGGCAGCUUCUUGUAACUUCGUUUUCCAGAUGAUUCCUGACGAAUCAGUGGCAGCAAUUCGGAGAGGAAACAGUUGCUCAGGGUUCUGCUGUGGUGACACUGGUAUGUGCCUGGGAGCUGGCUGGGGACAUCCACGAGCCGAUCCAUAGGUCUCAUUCCAUACAUCCCCUGAGCAGUACUUAUGGAGAGCCCUUAGAUGGUGCUGUAUGGCAGCGCUCGUCCCGCCCGCACCACCGCUGCCUUAGGGGAUGCCUGUGCCCCACCUCAGGGCUCACAUUUGGCCACAGUUCAGUCCAAAGAAGGUGAAAAAGCAGUCUCUGGGCACUGUUAUUUAGGAUGAGUAAGUGAAAUCUGUCAAUAGACAUAUUAAAUAUUAAAUUCAAACAUGGAUUUCAAUAGCUGCUGUAAUUUAAUCCUUAUAAACUUGAAUCGUCAUGCUUAAACUUCCAUGGCAAAUGUAUUGCUCUCUGUAAAACAAAGGGCUUUUAAAUAUUAGUUAAGGAGUUUUUAAAGGGCAUUUGAGGAUCAUCCUGAUGGAAGAAUAGUGCUCACCCUGGGAACUUCCUCAUGUAAAUAUGGGUGUGGUGGUGUGGCUUUCAGGUUAAAUCUUCCAGGCUGUGAAACUCUUCAUUUCUAAAGAAGUAGGGAUGCAGAUGUAGGAAUUUGAGUUGUGAUGUCAAUUUCAAUGGAAUUGAAAUGUUAUUUCCUCUAUCAGGAUGGGUUUCAAGCCACAAAGUAAAUUUUAUUUGGAAACUGUUAGUUAAAUUAUUGGAGGGUUAUUAGACAACUCUCAAAUACUGAUGGUAUCUUUUGUAACAACACAGGAGAGAAGUGAGGUGUUGAAAACAAAUAGAUCUCUGCCCCUUGGAAAAGAAUUAUGUGACUGUUUGGGUUUUUUUUCUAAGUUGGGAAUGUAGCCUUCCUAUAGUUUCACUGCGUGCUUAUGCACAUUCCUGUAUUUUGUUAGUGUUUUCCACCUGUUCGUGCAGCUUGAGGGGGUUAAGCCUGAGAAUAUUCUGCCAAAGCAAAUGAAAUAUGAAAUAGUUCAUGUUUUCAGAAUGACUUCAUUUAGUCAUGACUUUUAUUUAUUUAAAGUGAGAGAGAAAGAGCUCAUGUUGUUACAGUCUCCGCUCUCUCUGCUCUAUUUUUUCAAUCUCUGGAACUUCCCAUAACCCAGCUUUUCUUUUUUGACAUUUGAAAUGUCCCAGGCUGCAUAAACUGAGCAUCUGCUGUGUGUUGCUCUCGUCCCAGUAAUUCUCAUCCUGUGGUCCCUGUAUGCUGUUAUUUUAGGUGUAUCCUUUACCAUUAUGUGGAUUGUUAACAUUACCCUGAAUUCUGCUGCUAUGUAGGUGGGACCAAGCACUGAGAUUUUCUUUCUUUUGAGUUGAGAAAGAAACUCUGGCUUGAAAACACUGACAAGUUACUGGGUGGUGAUUUGUAGCUUAAAGUUGGUGGCUAUAAAUUCUCACCUGUGAAAAGAGAACCUUGUAGCUCUGCACAAUAUGUUCUUCCAGCUGCGGUUGAAUUUCUGCACUGUUAAUAUCCUUAAGCAGCUGCAGCAAUGUGUCACACUGAUCUGGCAUUUUCCAUACCCAAAGCUCUGCUUAAAUAUUUGAACUUAGUAAGGCACUCCACUGAGCUGAGUGGGAGGCCAGUGUCGCUACAGCUUUAUAGAAAAAGAAACAGCACCUGGGAGGUUAAAGCAACUUUCCCUCACCAUGCAGCAAGUCAAUGGUAGAGCUGGAAUUACAGCUCUGGAGGUUCCUGGCUCGUGCUACACCAGGCUGUGGAGAAAGGUCAUUUCCCAAAAUAGUGCAAGUUUGUUAUUAUAAUAGGGCAACAAAGGGCUCUAGAUGUAUUAAUAGGUGACUGUGUGCCAAUCUUAGUAAUACAUAAUUUAGCAACCUUGCAAAAUGUGCUACAUCAUAUUUUAUCUGCAGCAGGAUCACUUUCACAGUUAGUUUUGUCUGCUUUACUCUGGAUAGGUACUUUUGUCUUGGCUCUUCUAACAGUUUUAUUUAAAGUAAAUAGGGACAUUUACUAAGUAGGCAUAAAAAGCCUCCUGAUUAGCAGCCACAUUAAACUGCAAUAUCCAGCUCACCUUUCAGGUCAGCACAGCUCCUGUGCCCCUUGGAAGCCACUGAGCACAGCUCUGUCUGCCUGAGGAGAACAGAGAGGUGACAGGGGAUUUUGGUGGCAGUCAUACCUGGCAGUGCAGGAGCUGGGGUUCAAUGAUGGGAGCCCACAGGGCUGCCAGGUUUGCUGAUGGCCUUAGGCCUCCCAGGGAGGCAGGCAAACCCAUCCCCACCCAGUGGGACAGGGUAGAGGGUGCUGAUACUUGUGAAUUGGUUUUCACUGAGAUUUGGUCCCAGCUGUACCUCAAAAGACCUUGGAGAUGGGGUAUUUGGUAGCAGUUGUUGGAUCUUGUAGAUUUCUACUUCAUACUUUUAUAAAAUGCUGUUGAUCCCCUUGAACUUGUGUACGUAAGCAAUGUACUUACUAAAGGAUUUUGUUUCUUCUCAGAAUGAAUUAUUUGACCUGCUAGGUUAUUCAGCAAAUUCAAAAGUGCUAUGUAGGAAACAAGUUUAUUUUUUCACCUGGAUCUAUGCAAUUGAAAGAAGAACAAAAUGGUAUUUUGCCUUAGCCAAGUCUGAAGAAUUCCAGUGAAUAAUGAUGGGAAGAAUGACAAUGCAAAUAGGUAUUGAAUCAAUUUAUUCGGUUUCAUUAGGGUUUGAGUUUGGGUGAAGAGUCUCCAAACAGGGAAACAUCAGGAAAAGAAAUGCGGAAGCCAAAAUGUGUAAGGAAAGUUAAGCAGAGCACGUGCAGCAUCCAUAGAUGGCAAGGGUGCUGUUCUCUCCUCUUCAUGUCUGUAGAUACAUGUAUUUGAAUUAACAGAGCAAUGUGAGCUUUAAGUGCUGCAUGUGCCUUUUAAUGCUUGUUGGUUGAAGUAAUUAGAUCUAUUGUGGGCAUUGGGAAUGGCAGCUUGGCUGUUAAGGUCACUGACUUGUGAACAUGACCUUCUGGAGGUCAAAGCACUGGAGAGCUUGCUGUGUUUCAUUCUCAGAGGUACCAGCCAUAAUAGUCACUGCUUUGAAAAAGCAGUGUCAAUGUUCCCUGCCUUUAUCUAUUUUGUUGUUUGUGCUGAAUUGUGAUGUGUUUUGUUUUGUUCUUGUUUUACUAAUUCAUCUCUUAAACUAUCUUUUGGUGGAUUCAGAGUUUUUGAAGUUUGGUUACCUUUUUUUUUUUCCCUAUGUGUGUUUUGAUUUGGUUUUUUGAACAAUAGUUGAGUUUUCACAACUGAAAUUGAUUGAUCAGAGAUUGAAUUGUAAAUCUUAGUGGUUUUGAGUGAUGUUUGGUACUUGAUUUGGCAUCCUGCUUUCAUUCCUGCAGAUGAUGAAGUCAGCCAGAUGUACUCUCUCAGAUGUACCCUUUCUGAGAGAGAUGAAAACCCCUUCUUGUGAUUGAGGCCAAAUGAUUCAUGGCAAAUGCUAAAGGAUACAUAAUUUCAGCCUUGACUACAUCUGCCUUCCCUGCUAGGGAACUCAAGAGAGGCCCGAGUAAAACAUCCUAUAAAAAAAGAGACAAAAGAUCUCUCUAGAGUGUCGCAGUUCAUGUUCGUGGUCUGGAGUCUGGAGCAUGCUUGAGUUCUUGUGGUAGAAAGGGAGGUUUGUAUUUUCUGGCAUCAAAUGGUUUUGUGGUUCUUCACAGUGUGAAUCCUUUCCAGGAGCUCAGAGUGUUGCUCUCAGUCCUCAACUUUCCCCGCACAAACCUGUCAAAACACACAAGACUAAAGCACCAAGCGUGGCAUGGAACAGCCCAUGGAUUUUGUGGCAUCUGGAUUGGCUGGACCUAGAGCAAAGCAAUCAUGGUGCUGGUGAUUAGAUUGCCUACUGUAAAAUUCCUGGAUGGUUGAGAUGGGGACAGUUGUGCUUUCUCAGAGCCUCUUUAAUUCUCCCUAAAAACUCACCAGACUAUAACUAUCAUGUUACCCCUAUCAAAGAUUCUGUUUUAGGUGAUUCGAAUAUGUUUUUUCCCCAGUCUUUAGCCUUCUUGCAUCACACUGCUCCUUAAAAAUGCUCACAUUACCAGCUGAAAUUUGCAUCUGCUAUAGGAAUUCUGUUUGGGACUGUGGGUGGGCUUACUCUGUCUAGGUAGCGGUGUUGUUUUAUUGGAGUUAGGAGAGUUUAAACCUCCUCAAAACUGAACUGCUUACAAUGGAUUUGAGUAUUUUUAUGUCUUGCUAGAGAGCCUUAGUUUUUUUUUUUUUUUUUUUGUGCUGCUCUGUGGCUUGAUCGGGGCAAGCAGCACGUUGUAUAUCUGCCUGCUCUUGUUUGGAAUUGAUGCUGUGCCCUGGGUGUUGUGCACAGAUUUACAGCUGAGGUAAAAAGAACAACCACUUGUUACCAUCUUUUUUUUCCCCCUCUCCUCAAUGUGUCAAACUGCUCCAUGGUCCCAUGGUCCUUCAGAAGCGUAUUGGGCUACUCGGAACCAGGGGAAAAAAAAAUUGUGAGCAGAGUCCUAAAUCAGAUGUCUCAGGUCUCAUUUCCUUCAGGGUUCUGCAUUUCUGAGUCUUUUUGGCAAGGGUUUUUUCACUGCUUUGCAACAGGCAAGAGCUACUGAGGAUAUAAAAUGUUUCGUUGCUGGAGAAGAAACAGGACUGGGAAAGUAAGGAGUUGCAAUUGUUGUGUAAAUAGCUUUAAGGGAAUAACUUUUUUGAAGAGGCCUGUUUGUGAUUAAGUAGUUCAAGGCAUUCUCUUAGUCAGGAAACCUGUUUUCUGUAGCCCAAACAGAUUAAAAUCUACCUGGAUCAUCUCACAAACACCUUUUUUUUUUUUUUUCCCUGGAUAUCUUUUGUUUAUGUGGUAUGGCCUUGCUAUAACUAUCCAUUUCUCAAAGCUUUCUUCUGCGCACGCUCACGCUUUUAGAUUUUUAUGAAGGUGUAUUUGUAUAAUUCACACAAUAAAUUGUAUUGUGUAUUGUUCUCCUUUUCCUUAUUUCUCCCUGUAGAUGGAAAGCUGCUCGAGCUGGGUUGAAAUCCAUGCUACCUUUAGUUACUAAGGGCAAAGUCCUGCUUUUGCAAAGCACUUCUCUCUCAUUUCUUUCUACUCUGUAUCUUUGCAUCUCUGUCUUGUGAGUUGUUUAGCAAAGGCUGGCAGACUCCUUUCUAGCCUGACAGGUCAAUGCUGGCAGGGGCACCUCACAGGUGCAGCCCUCUUCACCACUGCUAGAUGAGGGAAAAUGCAUUUUUCAUCUGGAGUUAGAAAAUUAUCCACACUAUAGUCCCUUGCUCAAAAUCCAGGCUGUUUCUCUUCAAGAGAUGCUGAAAUUGUAUCGUGCAUCUGACUGGCUGAUGCCACAGUAUGGAGCCUUUAUUUAUAGAUGUGUAUAAAUAAAAUCAAUCUUCCUCUACAAACUGUCAAAUUGUAUUUCCCAAAAGCUGAGGAGUCUGCAGUUCAUUAAAGCUGGAGAUAAUGAAUGACCCCAACUCUCUAGAAAGAGCAGCUUUUGUUCAGAAAGACUGGUUUGUUUUUAUCUGGCUGCUGACAUGAGUUGUCUACAGUUUUUUUUUCUGCAAAAAAUGAAAAUAUUGUUUUUGAUGUGUCAAAAAAGUUACUGCAGGAUGGUAUGUAGUGUAAUUAUGUUAAUUUGUGUUAUGAAUUAAAGAGAUCCUGAAUAGUUGAAGGUGUAUGUGGUGAUAUGAGCACAGACAAACCAAGAUGUGCAGGCAGGGGAUGAAGAAGGGGAAUUACUUAAAGAAGGUGUUCAUCUUCUGACAUUCUUUGUUCAAGGGAGGGAGUAGAUCAUUGGUGGCAGGUGCCCUGAGCACUUGGUAUGGCAAGCUGCUGUUCACCUUUUCGGGAUGUGGGUUUGAAUUACAUUGUUCUGUUUCAUCAUUAUCAGGAAAAAAGAACCACAUUUGGAACUGAAGUACCUCAGGGUUAACCCCCAUGCCUUAUAAAUUAAGAAAAAAAAAAACAAUUGCUUGUCUUCAUGGCCAGCCUAUGAGACAUGGAGGAUGUAUUAUCCAUUUCCUAGUUAAACUGCAUUAAUCUGUUUUCUGAUUCCUCUCAUGUCCAAAAAAACCUGCAGGCCUAUCAGGGCACAGCCAUAUUGAUCUUGCUGGUGAGAAAGGGUUGGUUUCAGGACCCUCCAACAGGUCUUGAUUAGAGUCUGGAUCUCCUGCCUCUCCAUUCCUGGAGAGUUUUAUUGCCAGUCUCAGCUCCUCCCUGUAAUGAGCUGAAGACUGGAUAGAGUCUGGCACAUUCUUAAUUGUCCAUUAGCAAGAGAAACUGUGCUAAUUGCCAAGAACCCCCCAAGACCUGUAGGGCUGGGCAGAUGGGUGGUGUGAGGACAGGCUGCUGUCCUCUCUGUCCUCUGCCCAGGGUCCCAGAUUGCCUGCUGGAGUCGAAGAGGGUGAGACUUUUCCCCUGCACUUAGCAGCAGUCUCUGUCUGUGGCUGGAAGGUUUCCCUGUGUUCUCUCACCUUGCUGGGAGACCUUUCAAAGAUCUUUGGAAGAGGUGGGAGGGUAUCUUUCCUUGAGGGUAGCUUUCUUUGCUGGCUUUCCCCUUCAUAGCCAGGAGGGACAGGGUAAACAAGGAUACCGUCAGAAUUCAGGUUGAAUGCAUCCUUGGGAUGGUGUAAGAUGUCAGAUUUCACUUGGCUUGACUGACAAUAUUAAUUGUGUUCCUGGGUAAGCUUUUUUUUCUUUUUUUGUUAGCAGGAAAAGAGUCUUCAGAAAGUCCCUUUCAGAAAUCUUGUGAUGAGAUGAUGCGAGGAACUUUUCAGUUUUACAUUGGAAGCAAGAUAAUUGAUUUGAGUUUGCUAUGACACUGCAACUUGUUACAAUAAGCAGUCUGCCCUCUGCAAGAGCAGAGCAAGAGGAGAGCAGGUCUGUGCACUUCUGCUGGGGUGGAAAUUCUCUGGCUUUCGGUGUUUGCACAGUGAAUUCAAUGUCAACAUACAUACAGACAGCAGAUCUCAGAGGAGUCAGAGGCACAUUCCCAGAAGAGUUACAAUCCAAGGUUUACACUUCCAGUGAAAUGUUGUCUGAGAAGUGCUGGAAAAAGAAAGGUAAGUGAUAGAAACUAGAGAUUUGAAAAGUAAAGUAGAGCAGAACUAAAGGCAAACAGAAGAGGAAUUUCUACUACAGAAAUUUGAAGUUUUUAAAAAUUAAUUAUAGCCUAAACUGGAAAUAAAACUGGGGGGUGCUAACUUUUUUUUUUAGAGUUGUGCCAUAUGUUGAUUUUAUUAUCAUGAUUAAGGUGUAGGGAAAGAGAACAAUUAUGAAGAAAACCAAAA